UUAAAAGUAGUAUAUAAAUUACAACUUGCUUACACCAAGUAAAAGGUCUAUAGCCCUUUUAAA
rnacentral:tRNA from 1 species